UCGGGAAGUAUGCUUAACUCUAGUCUUAAGUCUAGCACACUUCCUUCGAUGAGCUAGCCUUAUUUCUCCCUUGGAGUGUAAGCCAUACAUGCAGAAGUGCUUUCAGCAUCGGGUUGACGUCGGCCGAUGUUUAGUACUGUCUGCGCUGGUGGGGCUUUCGAUUAUGGUAAGACAUCUUCUUGGAAAUCAGGAGUGCUGGAGCAUGGUAAGAGCGGUGCGUAAGCUACGUGACGAAAC